AGAGUUUGAUCCUGGCUCAGAACGAACGCUGGCGGCAGGCUUAACACAUGCAAGUCGAGCGCCCCGCAAGGGGAGCGGCAGACGGGUGAGUAACGCGUGGGAACAUACCCUCCGGUUCGGAAUAACUCAGGGAAACUUGAGCUAAUACCGGAUACGGCUUAGCGGCGAAAGAUUUAUCGCCGGAGGAUUGGCCCGCGUCCGAUUAGCUAGUUGGUGUGGUAAUGGCGCACCAAGGCGACGAUCGGUAGCUGGUCUGAGAGGAUGAUCAGCCACAUUGGGACUGAGACACGGCCCAAACUCCUACGGGAGGCAGCAGUGGGGAAUAUUGGACAAUGGGCGCAAGCCUGAUCCAGCCAUGCCGCGUGAGUGAUGAAGGCCUUAGGGUUGUAAAGCUCUUUCGCCCACGACGAUAAUGACGGUAGUGGGAGAAGAAGCCCCGGCUAACUUCGUGCCAGCAGCCGCGGUAAUACGAAGGGGGCUAGCGUCGUUCGGAAUUACUGGGCGUAAAGCGCGUGUAGGCGGGUCCUUAAGUCAGGGGUGAAAUGCCGGAGCUCAACUUCGGAACUGCCUUUGAUACUGGGGAUCUUGAGUCCGGGAGAGGUGAGUGGAACUGCGAGUGUAGAGGUGAAAUUCGUAGAUAUUCGCAAGAACACCAGUGGCGAAGGCGGCUCACUGGCCCGGAACUGACGCUGAGACGCGAAAGCGUGGGGAGCAAACAGGAUUAGAUACCCUAGUAGUCC
rnacentral:rRNA from 1 species